AGCUUUCCGGGUGGCGUCCAUGUUUUUUCUCCGACUCGGACGCGCAAAACAUACCAGAACGCUUGAAGUGUGGAAGUGACGUCAUAUCCGAGGUCCGAGUUGGUUCGUUGAGAAUAAUGGAACGCACCAUAAGUUCAGUUUGUAGGCCUAAAA